rnacentral:rRNA from 1 species
UACAGAGGGGGCAAGCGUUAUUCGGAAUUAUUGGGCGUAAAGGGCGCGUAGGCGGCCUUGAAAGUCGGGGGUGAAAUCCCACGGCCUAACCGUGGAAGUGCCUCCGAUACUGCAAGGCUCGAGGGAGGUAGGGGCAGCUGGAACUUCCGGUGGAGCGGUGAAAUGCGUUGAUAUCGGAAGGAACGCCGGUGGCGAAAGCGAGCUGCUGGACCUCUGCUGACGCUGAGGCGCGAAAGCCAGGGGAGCAAACGGG